UUGACAUCCGAAGCGGGUGGGUUGCUGUCACCGGCGGCGAUGUCGACGGCUGCAGCCACCGCCACCCUGACCUCCUCCCCCUUCGCGCGGCGGCCUCGCGCCCCGCGGGGCGGCAGGCGGACGGUGCGGCCGUGCGCGUUCCACCCGGAGGUGGCCCGCGCGGUGGAGUCGCUGCAGGCAGAGUUCCGGGAGGUGGACCGCGCCCUCGCCCUCAACUCCUCCCGCGUCUCCGCCGCAUUCCGCGCCGCCCGCGUCGCUCCCCACCACUUUGGUGGUUCGACGGGGUACGGCCACGACGACGCCGGCGGCCGGGAGGCGCUCGACUCCGUCUUCGCCCACGUCGUCGGCGCCGAGGCCGCCAUCGUGCGCCCCCAGUUCUUCUCCGGCACGCAUGCCAUCGCCUGCGCUCUGUUCGCGCUGCUGCGUCCCGGACACGAGCUCUUGGCGGUCGCCGGGCCUCCAUAUGACACCCUGGAGGAGGUCAUUGGGAUCAGAGGUUCGGCCAAUGUAGGAUCGCUUAAGGACUUUGGAGUUACAUACCGAGAAGUUCCGCUCGCAGCAGAUGGUGGCCUUGACUGGGAUGCUCUUGCGUGUGCCGUCGGACCAGAGACCGGGUGCGCGCUCAUACAGAGGUCCUGCGGUUACUCGUGGCGCAAGAGCCUGGGCGUAGCUGAUAUCCGUAGAGCCAUUGAUUUGAUCAAGAUGCAAAAUCCAAACUGCAAGGUCAUGGUUGACAACUGCUACGGUGAAUUUGUUGAGACAUCAGAGCCUCCAAUGGUGGGAGCAGAUCUGAUUGCCGGUAGCUUGAUAAAGAACCCCGGUGGUACCAUCGCGCCUUGUGGUGGCUACGUUGCUGGGAAGAAAGAUUUGGUUGCCGCAGCUGCAGCUCGCCUAUCCGCACCGGGCCUUGGGGUGGAGUUUGGGUCCGCACCUGGACAUGUUAUGCGAGCAAUGUUUCAGGGCUUGUUUCUUGCUCCGCAGAUGGUUGGAGAGGCAGUAAAAGGUGGUUUGCUAAUUGCAGAAGUCAUGUCAGCCAAGGGCUAUAGAGUUCAACCACUUCCAAGGGCGCCACGCCAUGAUAUUGUGCAGGCAGUAGAGCUUGGCAACAGGGAGAGACUCAUAGCAUUCUGUGAAGUUGUCCAACAAACCUGCCCAGUAGGAUCAUUUAUUAAGCCAACCGCUGGGGAAACUCCUGGUUAUGCUUCAGAGGUCAUUUUUGCUGAUGGGACAUUCAUGGAUGGAAGCACAAGCGAGCUAUCAUGUGACGGGCCCUUAAGAGAUCCAUACGCUGUCUUCUGUCAGGGAGGAACGCAUUGGACACAAUGGGCUCUUGUCCUGGGUGAAGUUCUCAAGGUCAUAUAGCUGUUGUUACCAUAACUAUAUCCCAUUUCUGGAAUGGAGGUCACGUAGCCAUUUGUUAUGUUACCAAAAGACUUCCAUUUAUAGAAGUAUAAUUGACUAGAACCAUCAUGGCCACAAAAUUCUUUUGGUUGAACCUAUCGGCGAUUUAAGGCAACAGGUUUCAAGGCUGUGAAUAAUUCAGCAGGCUGCAUUGUGCAUCAAUAGAUUGCCAGAGUAAGUUGAAGCCGGAGCAUCAUUGAUUUUGGAUAGCUUAUGUGAUCAACUCGGCAGUUGAUUAGGAUUCCACACCCUAAACUGUAGUGGGUUAGUUAGAAAUGCUUUGAAAGUGGUGUGUGCCAUGUACUACCAUUUGUAUGGGUUUGCCCAUUCAUUCAACAAGAGAUAGAUGACCGUCACAGCACUUCAUUUUGGAGGUUU